rnacentral:lncRNA from 1 species
UGUCAUAUGAUUUAUUUAGCUUGGUUACGACAAUUUAUACACUGCUUUACAAUGAAGAUAUUAUUUUACAUAUUUUACAUUAGAUAUACAAUAGUUUACUACAUGAUUAUAAUGGAAGCAGUGACUUAAUAUUGGCUCUCUAUAUAUAAAAAUCUGGAAAUAAUGCCCUAUAAAACACUAAAAAAGCACUUGAAAAGCCAUUGAACCACAUAAAAAUUUAUUUUACGAUUCUAUAAAUAUUAACCACUUCAUUGCAUAAUAAAAAUUUCUGUUUACAAAAAAUCAUAAUUUUAAGAAAGGAUCAAAAGUCACUGCAUGAAAUGAGUAUGAAUGAACUUAACAAUGGAAACUACAAUUUCUGAGAUCAAUUGAAAAACUUUCUUGUUGCAUGUGGGCAGCAACUUUAAGGCAAGAAAAAAGAAGAAAAUAAAAAUGUAACAUACACAAGUAUAUAUGUACACACCAUACACUCUCACAUCUAUAAGCACUCAUCACUAUACACUAUAUGACUAGCAUCAGGCACUAAAAGUUGUCUCUGUAUUCAUUGAAAUUCUGUCAAUUUCUUUAGAAGACUUAAAAAAAUGCUUCUUUUUUUCAGAUGAUAUCUCAAAUAUAAAGGAAGAAAAAU